GUUAUGUCACCUGGCUCUGUGCUUCGACUCUUCUCCGGGCGUUCAGGCGAGCACACUCGGUAUGACAGCUUUAGGAUGGAUGGAGGAGGAGGAGAAGGAGGAGGUGGGGCCGAGCGUCAGAGGUGGAGAGCGACACUGCAACUUGCUUCCAGAUGAGUGGUCACCGCAAGUGAUUUUACUGGUGGGUUUAGUCUGGUGGUAAGGAGAAAAAGGACAAGUUAAGUUCACACGGCCUACAACGCGGUGGCAAAACGAAGAAGCAGUGUGAUGUGUCAUGAUGUCAUGUUCCUCCCAACUUCAAAAAGCAAGCUCGCACUAGUCUGUGCCAUUAUGUCAAAAGGCAAAAGUGAGUCACGUUUUGAGUGAAUAAAGUGCUUUCCAAAUGUAAA